AACGAACGCUGGCGGCAUGCCUAACACAUGCAAGUCGAACGAGACCUUCGGGUCUAGUGGCGAACGGGUGCGUAACGCGUGGGAACCUGCCCUUAGGUUCGGAAUAACUCCCCGAAAGGGGUGCUAAUACCGGAUAAUGUCUUCGGACCAAAGAUUUAUCGCCUUUGGAUGGGCCCGCGUUGGAUUAGCUAGUUGGUAGGGUAAAAGCCUACCAAGGCGACGAUCCAUAGCUGGUCUGAGAGGAUGAUCAGCCACACUGGGACUGAGACACGGCCCAGACUCCUACGGGAGGCAGCAGUGGGGAAUAUAGGACAGUGGGCGGAAGCCUGAUCCAGCAAUGCCGCGUGAGUGAUGAAGGCCUUAGGGUUGUAAAGCUCUUUUACCCGGGAUGAUAAUGACGGUACCGGGAGAAUAAGCACCGGCUAACUCCGUG
rnacentral:rRNA from 1 species